rnacentral:piRNA from 1 species
UGAACUUGCCCGGCUGUUCUCUUUGAAAU